GCGAGGGUGGCGGAACUGGUAUACGCGUACGGCUUAGGACCGUAUGCCGAAAGGCUUAGGGGUUCAAGUCCCUUCCCUCGCA
rnacentral:tRNA from 4 species